rnacentral:rRNA from 1 species
UACGUAGGGCGCAAGCGUUGUCCGGAAUUAUUGGGCGUAAAGAGCUCGUAGGCGGUUUGUCGCGUCUGCCGUGAAAACCCGAGGCUUAACCUCGUGGCUUGCGGUGGAUACGGGCAGACUAGAGGUAGGUAGGGGAGAAUGGAAUUCCCGGUGUAGCGGUGAAAUGCGCAGAUAUCAGGAGGAACACCGAUGGCGAAGGCAGGUCUCUGGGCCACUACUGACGCUGAGAAGCGAAAGCAUGGGGAGCGAACAGG